rnacentral:rRNA from 1 species
AUUGAACGCUGGCGGCAGGCUUAACACAUGCAAGUAGAACGAGUGGCGGAAGGGUGAGUACUGCUUGGGAAUCUGGCUUAUAGCGGGGGAUAACUAAGGGAAACUGUAGCUAAUACCGCAUACCAUAGAACGAGCCCAAGUGGGAUUAGGUAGUUGGUUAUGGAAAGGCUCACCAAGCCGCAGAUCUCUAGCUGGUCUGAGAGGAUGACCAGCAACGAUGGGACGGAGACACGGCCCAGACUCUGACGGUAGGCAGCAGUGGGGAAUAUUGCUCAAUGGGGGCAACCUGACGCAGCCAUGCCGCGUGAAUGAAGAAGGCCUUCGGGUUGUAAAGUUCUUGCGGUAGCGAGGCGUUAACUACAGAAGAAGCACCGGCUAACUCCGUGCCAGCAGCCGCGGUAAUAC